rnacentral:rRNA from 1 species
UACCUGCAGCUCAAGUGGUAACCGCUAUUAUUGGGCCUAAAGCGUCCGUAGCCGGUUUGGUAAAUAUCUGGGUAAAUCGUGAGGCUUAACUUCACGAAUUUCGGAUAGACUACCAGACUUGGGAUCGGGGGAGGUCAGAGGUACUCCAGGGGUAGCGGUGAAAUGUUGUAAUCUUUGGAGGACCACCGGUAGCGAAGGCGUCUGACUAGAACGAGUCCGACGGUGAGGGACGAAGCCCUGGGGCGCAAACCGGAUUAGAUACCCGGGUAGUCCAGGGUGUAAACGAUGUGGGCUUUGUAUUGGAGGUCCCACGUGGGCGUCCAGUGCAGAAGAGAAGUUGUUAAAGCCCACCGCCUGGGAAGUACGGUCGCAAGGCUAGAAACUUAAAGGAAUUGGCGGGGGAGCACAGCAACGGGAGGAGCGUGCGGUUU